AUUGAACGCUGGCGGCAGGCUUAACACAUGCAAGUCGAGCGGAGAUGAGGUGCUUGCACCUUAUCUUAGCGGCGGACGGGUGAGUAGUGCUUAGGAAUCUGCCUAUUAGUGGGGGACAACAUUCCGAAAGGAAUGCUAAUACCGCAUACGUCCUACGGGAGAAAGCAGGGGAUCUUCGGACCUUGCGCUAAUAGAUGAGCCUAAGUCGGAUUAGCUAGUUGAUGGGGUAAAGGCCUACCAAGGCGACGAUCUGUAGCGGGUCUGAGAGGAUGAUCCGCCACACUGGGACUGAGACACGGCCCAGACUCCUACGGGAGGCAGCAGUGGGGAAUAUUGGACAAUGGGGGAAACCCUGAUCCAGCCAUGCCGCGUGUGUGAAGAAGGCCUUAUGGUUGUAAAGCACUUUAAGCGAGGAGGAGGCUACUGAGACUAAUACUCUUGGAUAGUGGACGUUACUCGCAGAAUAAGCACCGGCUAACUCUGUGCCAGCCGCCGCGGUAA
rnacentral:rRNA from 1 species